rnacentral:rRNA from 1 species
GACGAACGCUGGCGGCGUGCCUAAUACAUGCAAGUAGAACGCUGAAGAGAGGAGCUUGCUCUUCUUGGAUGAGUUGCGAACGGGUGAGUAACGCGUAGGUAACCUGCCUUGUAGCGGGGGAUAACUAUUGGAAACGAUAGCUAAUACCGCAUAACAAUGGAUGACACAUGUCAUUUAUUUGAAAGGGGCAAUUGCUCCACUACAAGAUGGACCUGCGUUGUAUUAGCUAGUAGGUGAGGUAAUGGCUCACCUAGGCGACGAUACAUAGCCGACCUGAGAGGGUGAUCGGCCACACUGGGACUGAGACACGGCCCAGACUCCUACGGGAGGCAGCAGUAGGGAAUCUUCGGCAAUGGGGGCAACCCUGACCGAGCAACGCCGCGUGAGUGAAGAAGGUUUUCGGAUCGUAAAGCUCUGUUGUAAGUCAAGAACGGGCGUGAGAGUGGAAAGUUCACACUGUGACGGUAGCUUACCAGAAAGGGACGGCUAACUACGUG